UACGUAGGGUGCGAGCGUUAAUCGGAAUUACUGGGCGUAAAGCGUGCGCAGGCGGUUCGUGAUGUCUGAUGUGAAAGCCCCGGGCUCAACCUGGGAACUGCAUUUGAAACUGGGCGUCUAGAGUGCAGGAGAGGAAAGCGGAAUUCCUAGUGUAGCGGUGAAAUGCGUAGAGAUUAGGAAGAACACCAGUGGCGAAGGCGGCUUCUGGACGUGUAACUGACACUGAGGCUCGAAAGCGUGGGGAAGCAAACAGG
rnacentral:rRNA from 1 species